GCCAAUCAAUUACGUCGUUUAACUGAGACAACUAGAAGAUAAAGCUGUUCUAUCAAAGCUGCUUGGGACAUCCAUUUGACUGACUGCUGGAUGUCUCAAUUUCUAGUCAAACACUUUCAGAAAGACGUAUUUGAAAUUCUGAAAUGAUUGUGCCUUUUCCGCUAUUAUGUUAAUUCGCUAGCAGACGCCUCGCAAACUAACAGUCAACUCAUCUGGCGUUCCACUAAUGGCUUACGUGCAUGAUUGCAAACAAAUUCAAUUAGUGCACUAUUAUCGAUACCUCAUAUCGCAUUCGUUUGAAGAUAUCAGUUUAAAAUUGUACUUUAUUAUGCCAGAGGGAUAUGUAAUUCCUAAAGUUAUUUCGGGAACUGAACUGCGGCAAAAAACGGUUGUGCAUUAACACAUGAGUAGCCGGUCUCAAGAAUUGGUCUCCUUAGAACUUCCUAUAAGAAAUGCAACUAUAGAUAUUCAGCUGAAUAGUCUACACUUCAAAGCUAUCAUGUAUACAAAAGUUGUUUUUUAAUUAACUUGAAAGUGAAAGCCUGCUCAGCCACUUCAUGUGAUUGACGAUAUGUGUACAGACGGUCACUGAUAUAAGAAUGGGCUGUUGAAACUAUUAUUGUCGCCUCUUUUAACGGGAGUGCAAGUUUAGAGCUCAAGCGGCAAAACACUGCGGCAGGCAUUUCCAUAUCCUUGGUCAUUUGCCGGCCUGGCGAUUACUUUCAGGUACCUGGCUUUUAAACAAUGCUUCAUUCCUUGUCUAAGAUUUACGUUUAAGAGGAUAAAAGUAGAGAUUUGCACUUACACAAGAGAAUUUAGUUUCUCUAGAAUACUCGGAUUGAUUAUGUGCCUAGUAGAUUGGACCUACUAUAACAGGUGCUGAUAACAGACCAGUCUGUAUACGAUGUGUUUCGGUUGAAAGACGUAUAGUCGAAAAUUAAUUACUUAAUUAUGAUUUCGGUUAGGUACAGUUAUUGUUACUUUUUGCUGUUUCAUAAAUCUCCAGCGAACACGUAGCGUAUAGCGAUGCCCCUGCACGUUGAAGGCCUCGAUUGCUCACAAGCAAACUUAUAAAGAGAAGCAUUAAGAAGAAAUAUUAAUGUAAAUGUUCAAGUGGUACUGUAUUGAUGUGAAAAUGCUGGUGUAAACGAGGAUGUUGUGGUUAAAGAUAAUACGGCUCCGUUUUUUAUUUCUUUUACACAAAAAUACUUUUUAUACAGCAAAAUUCUUGUAAGGAUUAAAUCUUCUGGGUGACUAAAUGCGUAAAAUAACUUCUAAGGGGUCUUCGAUGCAUCGUUAAGCAACGCCGAGAACGAGGUAUCGAGCAAGCAAACUCCGCGCGAUGAGCGGCCCACAGAAAGGUUGGCCUCCUUCAAGGCGUGUCGUUGUGUUUGGUCCUGAAAAAUAAGAAGAAACACCAACGGAAAGGAACAGGAAUUACACUAAAGCAGGUGAUUCAAUCCAUUAUCGUUUACAUCAAUUUUAUACUACGGAGUAGGAGGAAAAGGCAACUAUACUUUGCAUACAUGCGAUCUACUCUUAUGUUUUCGACGAGAAAAAAUUGGCAUUCUUAAAAGACGCCUUUGGAGGUAUCGCUUGCAAGGUUCCUCAAUUUAUAGCUGACGGCAUCUAAGCUUUUAUAUUGUAUUCAAAUCGUAUGGCGAAUCGAUACAUCUGUCUAAAUCACCAGCCUUAGAAAGCAUAUAAGCUCAAGAGGAACAUCUUUCUAAACUCGCAGAAGUGGUGCCACUCGUGUAUGCGAUCUAUGUCAAGGCCUCAUCAUGAUCCGACCGACAUCUCGAUGUGGAAUUUCACGUGUAGUUGAUGAAUGUUAUUAUCUUGGUAAUGCGAUGUAAUUGUCAUUCAUGGUAAAUAAAUAAUGGGCAGACCGUGAAAACAUAAAUUCUUUC
rnacentral:lncRNA from 1 species